rnacentral:rRNA from 1 species
GGGUUGUGAGGUUAAGCGACUAAGCGUACACGGUGGAUGCCCUGGCAGUCAGAGGCGAUGAAGGACGUGCUAAUCUGCGAUAAGCGUCGGUAAGGUGAUAUGAACCGUUAUAACCGGCGAUUUCCGAAUGGGGAAACCCAGUGUGUUUCGACACACUAUCAUUAACUGAAUCCAUAGGUUAAUGAGGCGAACCGGGGGAACUGAAACAUCUAAGUACCCCGAGGAAAAGAAAUCAACCGAGAUUCCCCCAGUAGCGGCGAGCGAACGGGGAGCAGCCCAGAGCCUGAAUCAGUGUGUGUGUUAGUGGAAGCGUCUGGAAAGGCGCGCGAUACAGGGUGACAGCCCCGUACACAAAAAUGCACAUGCUGUGAGCUCGAUGAGUAGGGCGGGACACGUGGUAUCCUGUCUGAAUAUGGGGGGACCAUCCUCCAAGGCUAAAUACUCCUGACUGACCGAUAGUGAACCAGUACCGUGAGGGAAAGGCGAAAAGAACCCCGGCGAGGGGAGUGAAAAAGAACCUGAAACCGUGUACGUACAAGCAGUGGGAGCACGCUUAGGCGUGUGACUGCGUACCUUUUGUAUAAUGGGUCAGCGACUUAUAUUCUGUAGCAAGGUUAACCGAAUAGGGGAGCCGAAGGGAAACCGAGUCUUAACUGGGCGUUAAGUUGCAGGGUAUAGACCCGAAACCCGGUGAUCUAGCCAUGGGCAGGUUGAAGGUUGGGUAACACUAACUGGAGGACCGAACCGACUAAUGUUGAAAAAUUAGCGGAUGACUUGUGGCUGGGGGUGAAAGGCCAAUCAAACCGGGAGAUAGCUGGUUCUCCCCGAAAGCUAUUUAGGUAGCGCCUCGUGAAUUCAUCUCCGGGGGUAGAGCACUGUUUCGGCAAGGGGGUCAUCCCGACUUACCAACCCGAUGCAAACUGCGAAUACCGGAGAAUGUUAUCACGGGAGACACACGGCGGGUGCUAACGUCCGUCGUGAAGAGGGAAACAACCCAGACCGCCAGCUAAGGUCCCAAAGUCAUGGUUAAGUGGGAAACGAUGUGGGAAGGCCCAGACAGCCAGGAUGUUGGCUUAGAAGCAGCCAUCAUUUAAAGAAAGCGUAAUAGCUCACUGGUCGAGUCGGCCUGCGCGGAAGAUGUAACGGGGCUAAACCAUGCACCGAAGCUGCGGCAGCGACACUAUGUGUUGUUGGGUAGGGGAGCGUUCUGUAAGCCUGUGAAGGUGUGCUGUGAGGCAUGCUGGAGGUAUCAGAAGUGCGAAUGCUGACAUAAGUAACGAUAAAGCGGGUGAAAAGCCCGCUCGCCGGAAGACCAAGGGUUCCUGUCCAACGUUAAUCGGGGCAGGGUGAGUCGACCCCUAAGGCGAGGCCGAAAGGCGUAGUCGAUGGGAAACAGGUUAAUAUUCCUGUACUUGGUGUUACUGCGAAGGGGGGACGGAGAAGGCUAUGUUGGCCGGGCGACGGUUGUCCCGGUUUAAGCGUGUAGGCUGGUUUUCCAGGCAAAUCCGGAAAAUCAAGGCUGAGGCGUGAUGACGAGGCACUACGGUGCUGAAGCAACAAAUGCCCUGCUUCCAGGAAAAGCCUCUAAGCAUCAGGUAACAUCAAAUCGUACCCCAAACCGACACAGGUGGUCAGGUAGAGAAUACCAAGGCGCUUGAGAGAACUCGGGUGAAGGAACUAGGCAAAAUGGUGCCGUAACUUCGGGAGAAGGCACGCUGAUAUGUAGGUGAAGUCCCUCGCGGAUGGAGCUGAAAUCAGUCGAAGAUACCAGCUGGCUGCAACUGUUUAUUAAAAACACAGCACUGUGCAAACACGAAAGUGGACGUAUACGGUGUGACGCCUGCCCGGUGCCGGAAGGUUAAUUGAUGGGGUUAGCCGCAAGGCGAAGCUCUUGAUCGAAGCCCCGGUAAACGGCGGCCGUAACUAUAACGGUCCUAAGGUAGCGAAAUUCCUUGUCGGGUAAGUUCCGACCUGCACGAAUGGCGUAAUGAUGGCCAGGCUGUCUCCACCCGAGACUCAGUGAAAUUGAACUCGCUGUGAAGAUGCAGUGUACCCGCGGCAAGACGGAAAGACCCCGUGAACCUUUACUAUAGCUUGACACUGAACAUUGAGCCUUGAUGUGUAGGAUAGGUGGGAGGCUUAGAAGUGUGGACGCCAGUCUGCAUGGAGCCGACCUUGAAAUACCACCCUUUAAUGUUUGAUGUUCUAACGUUGACCCGUAAUCCGGGUUGCGGACAGUGUCUGGUGGGUAGUUUGACUGGGGCGGUCUCCUCCUAAAGAGUAACGGAGGAGCACGAAGGUUGGCUAAUCCUGGUCGGACAUCAGGAGGUUAGUGCAAUGGCAUAAGCCAGCUUGACUGCGAGCGUGACGGCGCGAGCAGGUGCGAAAGCAGGUCAUAGUGAUCCGGUGGUUCUGAAUGGAAGGGCCAUCGCUCAACGGAUAAAAGGUACUCCGGGGAUAACAGGCUGAUACCGCCCAAGAGUUCAUAUCGACGGCGGUGUUUGGCACCUCGAUGUCGGCUCAUCACAUCCUGGGGCUGAAGUAGGUCCCAAGGGUAUGGCUGUUCGCCAUUUAAAGUGGUACGCGAGCUGGGUUUAGAACGUCGUGAGACAGUUCGGUCCCUAUCUGCCGUGGGCGCUGGAGAACUGAGGGGGGCUGCUCCUAGUACGAGAGGACCGGAGUGGACGCAUCACUGGUGUUCGGGUUGUCAUGCCAAUGGCACUGCCCGGUAGCUAAAUGCGGAAGAGAUAAGUGCUGAAAGCAUCUAAGCACGAAACUUGCCCCGAGAUGAGUUCUCCCUGACUCCUUGAGAGUCCUGAAGGAACGUUGAAGACGACGACGUUGAUAGGCCGGGUGUGUAAGCGCAGCGAUGCGUUGAGCUAACCGGUACUAAUGAACCGUGAGGCUUAACCUUACAACGCCGAAGGUGUUU